UGUCGUCGCAUUGAUGCGAUCAAGCUAAUCACACAGUAAUGUGAAUGUUAUGCGACUCCUGGAUAAUUGCUUCGGUUGGUUUCACGAGUUGCACGUGGCUCGUAUAAAUAUGGCAUACCUGAAGCAGAACGGCGUCAACAUUCUUGAUUGGCCUGCAUGGGUGAAAGUUUUCCGUAUUAUGACGGAAUUCCGUAUUUUGGACCUUCCCAAAGGUCAUUUUUCCAAAUCGUGUAAAUCCGAUGAGAUUUUCGAGGGGUGGGGGGAGGUAACGUCCUGUCCGGUCAUCUAUCAAUGGCAAAAUAAUAACAUUAUGCUAAAAUGCUAAAAAUAGCGCUGAUUGCAACAAUUUGAUCGUCCUUUUCCGUUAGCAAUACCGUAUGUAACAUUAUUCGAUAGCCGAAGAUAACCGAACGCUGGCAAUUAUUCAUCCAAAAAUAGACUGUAGAUCGGUUAUUUCCGCGGGUAAGGCUGAAGAUGCUAUUCGAAGUUUCCUUGUGUAACCGUUUGUAACCGAUGGUUAACGAAUCAUUUCUGCACGCGUGAUACUUUAUGACCUCCUUUUACGACAACCAACAACCUGUUCCUUACUGCAAAUUUCGAAUGUCUACAAUAAUUGAAGAAAUAAACCGAUCUGACCAUUAUGAAGUUUCUACCAACAGGUAGUUCAGGAGUUUGAGCAACAAGCCAAGAACAAAAUUUAACGGCGAUGGCAGUUGUCCGAGUUAGAUUCUGAGGCGCUGAAAUGGUCUGAUAGAUAUUUGCUGUGUUGCAUAUUGCACUUUCUAUGAAAACGAUUAAUUACAAAUCCAAUGGAAAGAAAAGCCUCAAACUUCACCACGAGGACGCCAAACACCAGAAAAAACACUGAGUUGUGAAAACGGGGAAUAUUCAAUGAGGUUCUUCUAAGGUUACUAAGAACACUGAAUCUAUGCAAGACAGAGUGGCUAAACAGCACGCCAUAACCAUAGCCUUCCAAAGUUGACACUGCCAUUUACAUUUAUAUAUAGCAGAGCUGCUGAAAUUCACAGAAGGGUUAGAUGAGGAUAAACCUCGGUUAGAUGAGGAUAAACCUGCUCUUGACAAGACCACAACUCGGUUAGAUGAGGAUAAACCUGCUCUUGACAAGACCACAACUAUGUAAACACACAUAGCAUUGCCAAAAGUUAGAAGGAUGAUCUAAAGAAAAAACUUAAAGGACAGAUCUUAUCACUGAAUUCCAGUGAGGCAACAAACAAUAACAAUGAUUAGAUUUUGAAUGUAAUUGCAUUGUAUAUUGUGAAAUAAUGUGGAAAUAAUAAAAUGACAAAUUAAUUUUUGAAGAAUAAGGUCUUGAAUUUAUGUUUGUAGAAGACUCCAAAACUUAAAUGCAGAGGACUCUACUUUUCAGGAAAAGCUUUGUACAGUACUUGGUAAUUGCAUUAUUUCAGGAGCUUCCGGGGGCCUCCGGCCCCCUGGACCCCUGGCCAGGGCUUUGCCCUGGACCCACCGGGGGCCCUAUCGGCCCCCUGGCCCCCAGAUAUUUGUUUCAGUAUUUUCAGUUUUUCCAACUUUCACCCAUGGGCCUGCGUUAUCUUCCAACAUGUCGCCAAUUGAGCACCUGUGGGACGCGCCCGACAAGGCGAUCCGCCAGCGUCAUAGCAUGCAGCCUGGAAACCUACAAGAACUAACCAAUGCGAUUAUCCAGGAGUGGCGUAACAUUCCAUUUAACUUUGUGCGUCGUUUGAUCGCAUCAAUGCGAAGAAGAUGUUUAUCUGUGGUGAAUGCUGCUGGUGGCCACACCCGCUAUUGACUGAUCCUGCGAACUUUAAAAAUGCACCAUUCAAUCAAUUAAUGCAUUUUAUUGUUAUCUACUGUGUUUUUUGUUAAGUUUUUGUUUUUCAUUCUGUUACAGGAUAGUUAUGUGUUACUCAUGUCAAAUUUCAUUGUAUUUGGUUUAAUAUUAAAUAAAAUAUCGACACUUAUGUACA